rnacentral:lncRNA from 1 species
GAUUCUCCUGCCUCAGCCUCCUGAGUAGCUGGGACUACAGGGAGCUUCAAAGGCAAGGGUAUACAACUAAGCUUUCUGGAAUGGCUGGUACAAUCAACCCUUCUUGAAGUGGAGUCCUGGAUAAGAUGACCUCUCCAGUCUCGGACUCUAUAGGCACAGAAAAAUGAAGAAGGAUGUCCUUGAGAGGCUAACCCCCGGCAGGGAAAAAGACUUACUCCUGGAUCCUGUGGUUCUCCCACUGCAUUAUUUACAUCCUUACCUGCUGGGAAAUCAUGAAGAACGACAGCAUGAGGAGCACCACUGUCAACAGGCUUCUGAGCGUGGCUUGGAUCCUUAGGGGGAGAAAAGGGCUGUGAAUGAAGUGUGCAGGAUAGAUGGUGGAUUUAUUAUUCACUCUGAGACCAAUUUUUUUUUUCUCAUUAGAGUCCUCUUGACACAAUUACAUUAUGAGUACAUGAUGCAAACCACACAGUUGAGCCAAACAAGGGAAUUAUUAUCAAGUUGAAGAAGAAUGUGUCCUUGCUAAGGGAGGAUGAAAAUCUCAAUUAAAAUAUCCCCCAGUAUGUUUUCUUUUUGCUUUUUUAAGCUGAGAGAGUAAAACAAAAGGGAACUGUUUAUUUAUUUUGAAACAGUAUCUAUUCUACCCCAAAGUAGUGGUUUUUGACCUCUUUCCCUUUCAAGGAUAGCUUUUUCCUUAAAACUGUGAUCAAGACAGAGUCUUAAAAGUUGUGUCUUUAUUAGGAUGGGAAAAGAAGAAAGUUCUAUGAUUUAUGCUCUUGCCUUUUGUAAUGAAAGGAGCUAAUGACUUUCAACAGAAGUAUAAUUCACAAAAAGUAAAAUCCAUUUCAUUUAUUACCACUUAACUAAGUGCUUUUUCUAAUUUGAAAGCAAUGCUACCUCCCAUGCCUGGUCUGCAUUUUGUAUUUAAUCUGAAUGGUUUAUUCAACAGUAGUUCUAAAUAAAUUAGCAAAAAGAAUCUAACAUUCUCUAUCCAUCUAGCCAAAUGCCGAGAUUGGCCAGAGGAUAAGGCAAAGCUGAAGAGCGACCUCUUCUUAUUGACUAGCAAUUGUUAUUCUUAGUUUCUUUAUAUCAAGAGACAGGCUUAUCCUCAUCAUCAUCAAAUCCCACUGAAGGAUAUUAUUUGGAGUUAUAACUUAACACUCUUCAACACUGGCAAGCCUGUGAAAUAAAUAAAGGCAGAUUUUUGUGCCCUUUCUUGUCUCUUCACCUCCUCUAAUAACUCUUGUCCCCUUAGAGACGUCCUGACACAUCUAUACCUCUGCCCUUCCCCUGGCCAUGAUGCACCAGGCUGAUUGCAGCGCACUGUGAAUGAUGGUCCACUUUCUCCAUUUCAACCCUGCAGCACCUUUGCUGAGAUCUUUUCUAAAUCUCAGCUGCUCUUUCAACCAAAAUGCACCUGCAGAAACAAAACUUUCAUUCUCUCAAGUUAGGUAAACUGAAAUAUAACUUAAGACUCUAAUGGCUAAUGUAGCUUACUAUAUUAGCUUACUAAGAAGACCCUAACAUUUUUUCAUGGACUGCUUAAUGCUUUUCUCUAAAUAAAUGAACAAUAUGGAAAUUUCAUGAAUUCUGAGAUA